UACGGAGGAUGCGAGCGUUAUCCGGAUUCAUUGGGUUUAAAGGGUGCGUAGGCGGUUUUUUAAGUCAGUGGUGAAAUCCUGCGGCUCAACCGUAGAACUGCCAUUGAAACUGAAGAACUUGAAUAUAGUUGAGGUAGGCGGAAUGUGCAGUGUAGCGGUGAAAUGCUUAGAUAUUGCACAGAACACCGAUUGCGAAGGCAGCUUACCAAGCUAUUAUUGACGCUGAGGCACGAAAGCGUGGGGAUCGAACAGGAUUAGA
rnacentral:rRNA from 1 species